UGGGGAAUAUUGGACAAUGGGGGGAACCCUGAUCCAGCCAUGCCGCGUGUGUGAAGAAGGCCUUAUGGUUGUAAAGCACUUUAAGCGAGGAGGAGGCUCUUUUGGUUAAUACCCAAGAUGAGUGGACGUUACUCGCAGAAUAAGCACCGGCUAACUCUGUGCCAGCAGCCGCGGUAAUACAGAGGGUGCGAGCGUUAAUCGGAUUUACUGGGCGUAAAGCGUGCGUAGGCGGCUGAUUAAGUCGGAUGUGAAAUCCCUGAGCUUAACUUAGGAAUUGCAUUCGAUACUGGUCAGCUAGAGUAUGGGAGAGGAUGGUAGAAUUCCAGGUGUAGCGGUGAAAUGCGUAGAGAUCUGGGGGAAUACAGAUGGCGAAGGCAGCCAUCUGGCCUAAUACUGACGCUGAGGUACGAAAGCAUGGGGAGCAAACAGG
rnacentral:rRNA from 1 species